UACGUAGGUGGCAAGCGUUGUCCGGAAUUAUUGGGCGUAAAGCGCGCGCAGGUGGUUUCUUAAGUCUGAUGUGAAAGCCCACGGCUCAACCGUGGAGGGUCAUUGGAAACUGGGGAACUUGAGUGCAGGAGAGAAGAGUGGAAUUCCACGUGUAGCGGUGAAAUGCGUAGAGAUGUGGAGGAACACCAGUGGCGAAGGCGACUCUUUGGCCUGUAACUGACACUGAGGCGCGAAAGCGUGGGGAGCAA
rnacentral:rRNA from 1 species